AACGAACGCUGGCGGCAGGCCUAACACAUGCAAGUCGAACGGUUGUAGCAAUACAGCAGUGGCGCACGGGUGAGUAACGCGUGGGAACGUGCCCUUCAGUACGGAAUAACAGUUGGAAACGACUGCUAAUACCGUAUAUUUCCCUCGGGGGAAAGAUUUAUCGCUGAAGGAUCGGCCCGCGUAAGAUUAGGUAGUUGGUGGGGUAAUGGCCUACCAAGCCUACGAUCUUUAGCUGGUCUGAGAGGAUGAUCAGCCACACUGGAACUGAGACACGGUCCAGACUCCUACGGGAGGCAGCAGUGGGGAAUAUUGGACAAUGGGCGAAAGCCUGAUCCAGCCAUGCCGCGUGAGUGAUAAGGCCUUAGGGUUGUAAAGCUCUUUCGCCGAUGAAGAUAAUGACGGUAGUCGGAGAAGAAGCCCCGGCUAACUUCGUGCCAGCCGCCGCGGUAA
rnacentral:rRNA from 1 species